rnacentral:rRNA from 1 species
GUUAGCGGCGGACGGGUGAGUAACACGUAGGCAACCUGCCCUCAAGACUGGGAUAACCUCCGGAAACGGAUGCUAAUACCAGAUAGGCGAUUUUCUCUCCUGGGAGAAUCGAGAAAGACGGAGCAAUCUGUUACUUGAGGAUGGGCCUGCGGCGCAUUAGCUAGUUGGUGAGGUAACGGCUCACCAAGGCGACGAUGCGUAGCCGACCUGAGAGGGUGAUCGGCCACACUGGGACUGAGACACGGCCCAGACUCCUACGGGAGGCAGCAGUAGGGAAUCUUCCGCAAUGGACGCAAGUCUGACGGAGCAACGCCGCGUGAGUGAGGAAGGCCUUCGGGUCGUAAAGCUCUGUUGCCAGGGAAGAACGGGUGGAAGAGUAACUGCUUCCGCCAUGACGGUACCUGAGAAGAAAGCCCCGGCUAACUACGUGCCAGCAGCCGCGGUAAUACGUAGGGGGCAAGCGUUGUCCGGAAUUAUUGGGCGUAAAGCGCGCGCAGGCGGCUUUGUAAGUCUGGUGUUUAAUCUUGGGGCUCAACCCCAAGUCGCACGAGAAACUGCAAGGCUUGAGUGCAGAAGAGGAAAGUGGAAUUCCACGUGUAGCGGUGAAAUGCGUAGAGAUGUGGAGGA